CACCAAUCCCAAAGGCCCCCAGAAGGGCCCCUCGAUUUCCAAACUUUUACCAAUUUAGAGGAAAGGGAACGAAUCCAGACAGCUGCUCGUGACCACAGAGACCAGAUUCAUAUUACUGAUCCCACAAUACCUAUUGGGGCAAAGGCCGUACCGGCAGCUGACUCUAAUUGGAAUUACCAGCAACAGGGAACUGGCCAUAGGCGAUAGGAUCAGAUGAUCCAAUGUUUGCUGGCAGGCAUGCGAGCAGCCUCAAGGGCUAGGAGCAAAGUGCACUUACAUAGUCAUCUACGUUUUGGGAGCCGGGGAAACACUCUUGUCUUUCCUGCCUC